UCCAAAAGCCUUGCACAACUUGGAAAGCCCAGACUGGAAAGGAUCUUCCCCUGCCUGGGCAGGGAUUUCGGAGGUGCCCACGGGAAGGGACCAGGAUUAUCUGCUUCCACUUCACAGGAGCUCCACGUCUGGGAUCUCCACCACUGCAGAGGAGGAUCUACAAAAGGUGAAUUUUAACAAGCAACCAACCUCAUGGAGGCAUCUGAACUCACAUCCCCAGUGCUGCACAAGCUCCCCACUGUGCACAGAGACCUCCUGCCCUCUGAGCCUCCAGAGCUGCACCAGGCCCAGGCAAAGGCCCCCGUUUGUCACUCCAGGACACGAAACAGAAAGAUGUGGACAUUGGAUUUUCCAAGCUGCCAAGAUCUCCAUUAGGAGGUUUGUGUUUCCUUCCAACAUUAAAGAAUCUCUCUAACAUCUGUAGCGAUGAGCAGUGAAGAGUGUCAGCUCUGCUCCUGAAACAAGCAGUGCCACCAUUUGAAGGAGGAAAAAUGUGAAAUAAUGAAUAUGCUCCUGCAGAUCAGGCUGCUGUGUGCACCAGGAGAUGGGCAAAGCCUCGUGCCAGGCUUGAUCUCCAGAGUUUCUCCUCUCCACCUCUAAGGAGUGCA